CUUUUUCUUUCACCGGAGCUUGCUCCCCGAAAGAAAAAGAGUGGCGAACGGGUGAGUAACACGUGGGUAACCUGCCCAUCAGAAGGGGAUAACACUUGGAAACAGGUGCUAAUACCGUAUAACACUAUUUUCCGCAUGGAAGAAAGUUGAAAGGCGCUUUUGCGUCACUGAUGGAUGGACCCGCGGUGCAUUAGCUAGUUGGUGAGGUAACGGCUCACCAAGGCAACGAUGCAUAGCCGACCUGAGAGGGUGAUCGGCCACACUGGGACUGAGACACGGCCCAGACUCCUACGGGAGGCAGCAGUAGGGAAUCUUCGGCAAUGGACGAAAGUCUGACCGAGCAACGCCGCGUGAGUGAAGAAGGUUUUCGGAUCGUAAAACUCUGUUGUUAGAGAAGAACAAGGAUGAGAGUAAAAUGUUCAUCCCUUGACGGUAUCUAACCAGAAAGCCACGGCUAACUACGUGCCAGCAGCCGCGGUAAUACGUAGGUGGCAAGCGUUGUCCGGAUUUAUUGGGCGUAAAGCGAGCGCAGGCGGUUUCUUAAGUCUGAUGUGAAAGCCCCCGGCUCAACCGGGGAGGGUCAUUGGAAACUGGGAGACUUGAGUGCAGAAGAGGAGAGUGGAAUUCCAUGUGUAGCGGUGAAAUGCGUAGAUAUAUGGAGGAACCCAGUGGCGAGGCGGCUCUCUGGUCUGUACUGACGUGAGGCUCGAAGCGUGGGAGCAACAGGAUAGAUACCU
rnacentral:rRNA from 1 species